GGGCUUGUAGUUCAAUGGUUAAAACGGGAGACUCAUAAUCUCUUAUUCUCGGUUCAAUCCCGGGCGAGCCCA
rnacentral:tRNA from 1 species